ensembl:lncRNA
GUAGGACAGGUAUAGAGGGUUUGUCAAAUCCAUGCUUUUGAAACAGGCCAUGCGUUAAAAAUGUAGGGUUGCUUUUCGUUUAUCCCUAAAUGCCUGUUCUGGGGUGAGGGCAGAGGUAGUGGUUUUUAUUUAUACCCAAUGUCUGUUAUAGAGUGGAGGUGGGGUAAUGGUGUUCUGAUAUCUGUUAUAGAGUGGAGGUGGGGUAAUGGUGUCCUGAUGUCUGUUAUAGGGUGGAGGUGGGGUAAUGGUGUUCUGAUGUCUGUUAUAGAGUGGAGGUGGGGUAAUGGUGUUCUGAUGUCUGUUAUAGGGUGGAGGUGGGGUAAUGGUGUUCUGAUGUCUGUUAUAGGGUGGAGGUGGGGUAAUGGUGUUCUGAUGUCUGUUAUAGAAUGGAGG